rnacentral:rRNA from 1 species
UACGUAGGCAGCGAGCGUUUGUUCGGAAUUACUGGGCGUAAAGAGUGUGUAGGCGGUGCUCUAAGUUCGGUGUGAAAUCUCCUGCUUAACUGGGAGGGUGCGCCGGAAACUGGAGUGCUCGAACGUGGGAGAGGAAAGCGGAAUUCCUGGUGUAGCGGUGAAAUGCGUAGAUAUCAGGAGGAACACCUGCGGUGUAGACGGCUUUCUGGACCAUUGUUGACGCUGAGACACGAAAGCGUGGGUAGCAAACAGG